UGGGGGGGGGCGCGCCCCGUCUUCGUCACCGCGCUGCAGCACUGCCGCACCGCUAAUUUCCUCCCUGGCCUCCACCUCGUCACCUACCAGCAGCCCCGCAACGAUUCCCAGCCUGACAAGGUCUCCAUCGUCCGCAGCACCACCAUCACGCUCAGCCCCAGCGGCGACACUGACGUCUCCCUUGUUUACCGGGGCUUCAUCUACCCGCUGCUGGGACCCCCCCUCGUCCCCGGCCCUGGCCCCAGCGUUUGGGCUCGCAUACAGCGCCUCUAUGUCGUUGCCCGCCUUGGACGGCACCCCAACUCCCCCGAGCUGGAGGAGGUGGGUCGCUGGUCAGUGCAGCAGGAACGGGAGACGCGUCCCCUGCAGCGUCCGCGCCCUGAGCGGCUUUUUGGGGCACCCGAGCGGGGCAACAAGUACGCGGUGCAGGUGGAGGGACACUUCAACAGCUCGGGCAGCGGGCAGAGCAG